GGGGGCGUAGCUCAGAUGGUAGAGCACUCGUUUAAUACGAGAGAGGUACAGGGAUCGAUACCCCGCGCCUACA